rnacentral:RNase_P_RNA from 2 species
GGUGCAAGCCGACUUGUCGCUGUUCUCUUUGAUGGGGAGAGAGGAAAGUCCGGGCUACAUAGAGCGCCAUAUUUCCUAACAGGAAGGGGUCAAGUUGGUGACGACUUGAUUACAGAAAGUGCCACAGAAAAUAUACCGUCCCGUCCCGAUAGCUAUCGGGAUCGGGAUAAGGGUGAAAAGGUGGGGUAAGAGCCCACCGCCCAAAUGGUGACAUUUGGGGCAUGGUAAACCUUAUGGGUUGAAAGAUCAAAUAGGUCCCGCGAUGAAACCUGGUUUCAUAAAAGGUUGCUCGUCUUUAUGCGGGAUGGGUAGAUCGAUAGAGUCAUUCCGUGAGGAAUGACCUAGAUAAAUGACAAGUGAUGCAUUCAUCAGGAAUGUUGAACAGAACCCGGCUUAUAGGCUUGCACCUAUU